CGCAUGCGCGUGGAGCAGAGCGGGGAAGAGAAGAUGGCCGCGGUAAAGAAGAGAGACUGGACGGAGGAAAGGUUUCAGGUAUUCUGUUAUAAGCAACAAAACGUGGACUAAGACAGAUGUAAAGAGUCAAGCAACACAUCAGGACCAGAGAUUUCACAAGGCAACAGGGUAAAUGGAGACAGCUAUCUAACAUGUAGCCUGAAAACAGAAACAGCUCUAUCAGCAGAGAGAGCAGAGAAGCAAGAACACCCCAGUAACUAAAAGCACUGAUAACCCCUAGAUCUUGGUUUCUAAAUUUAAUUUGCCACUAAAAGGAAACCUGAACUCUUUGGAGAAAUGGCUAUUUCAGGAAUGAGGCUGGGAAUAUCUUGUGCUAAAAGGACACAUUCAAGGAACGAUGAAGACAUGUCAAAAGGAUAAAGAAGUCAGAUCCAAGGGGCUCCCACUGACCAAAUCUGGGACAGUUUGAGCAAACUAAUCAUAGUAACUGAUUACAACCCAUUGAAUAAAAUAAGAAUUCAGGAGUCCAUACAGAUAAACAAAUAAAUGAGAAGAGAAAGCUCUGUUGUGGAGCAGAAUGCCAACUAAUAAAUGUAGAAGAAAUGAUGAGUUAGAAAAUUUCCAUUUGACAACCAUCAUAGUGAUAGCUCUUACAGGCAAUGGAUUCUAGAACUGGAAUGCACAAAUAUGAUGAGAAACAGAACAUUUCUCAGAGUUUUAAAUUAUCUCUCCACAAGAUACUUAUUAAUUACACAGGAAGGAAUAGUAACUUUCUAGUACAGGGGCCUGGCAGAUAAACCAGUGAACAAAAGAGACAUUUCUGCCCUCCUGAAAUUCACACUGUACGUCUUCAAACCAUUAGAGAAUCUAUAGAAACAAAAAAUCAACAUCUAGUACAAAAUAAGUGCUCAAUAAAUUUUAGUAAUUAGUUUUUAUUAGUAAGACACAAAUUUAUAUAAAAUUUAAUGAAUUCAUAAUAAUAGUCUUUUGUCAUUAUUUAUUCUCUUAUUCAGUGGACUUUGAUAGUUUAGCUACUACAUGUAAUUGUCUGCAAAAAGCAAAGACAAAACAAAAGAAAAGGAAUUAAUACCUAACUGAAAAGGUUGGGAAAAGUCAAUCCAGUGAAAUAAUAAGGUAUCAUAUCCAGACUCAAUCAUUUUGGCACAACAGAACUACCUGUAUAUCAUUUAACAUUAUACUUUUGACUUUUGUUGAGAGAUGACUACAUGUAAAUUUUAUCAUCAUUUAUGUAAAAAUAUGAUCAAAUAUACUGUAUCUUAUGUCGAUCUCCUAUAUAAAAAACAACAUGAAAAACUCUUCUCAGUAUUUACAAUCAGGAAAAAGUUUUCUCUGUGGAUAAACCAGCAUCCUAACUUGUAUGUUGCCAUUAACGAUCAUAAGAUGGCAAAAAUUUUAUUUUUCCUUUUUUGGUUGCUACCAGAUUGCUCAGGGUAAGUUUUACGAUCAACUGCAGUGUCUCCUAGACUUUCUACAUAAUUAUCCUCUACUGUUUUAUUGCUUAAGUCUUAUCCUUAUUUUAAUGAUUUUAUUAUAUUUGUGCUUUUUAUUAUCUGAAGACUUAAAUUCUUCUUGGAAGGAGGCCUAUUGUAAAUAAUAAAUGAGAACAUCAGCGCACCAGGCACCUGAGGAACAUAGAAGACAAAGUCAACAGUGGAAGCAAAAACAUUAGAAAGAGAAGAUGGAGGAGUAAAACACAAACUCACUUCACAAUUUUUCCUUAAAAAAUUUUUUUCCAUUAAAAAUCUAUGCUUCUAGGAUUUUGCCUUCUAAGAUGGCUUUUCAGCCAGAAGAGUUGGGAGUUCCUCAAACCUCAGUUGAAGCCUCCUUCUCUUCUUGUUCUACACUCUCUUCCAAGACAACCUCAAUACCAUCAACAAUACCAACAACCUAAUGAAGCCUAAAUUUAUGUCUUUGGCCCAGACUCCUCCUUGAAGUUCCAGACCCAUGUAGUCUUACUGCCUUCUGUUUCCCUUUGAAUAGAAACAUCCUCAAACUCAACAUGUCUAAAAUACGGUUUCCUUCCUGUGUGUCUUGGUGAAUGUUGCCACUCUUGUGCAACUCAGAAAACAAAGCAUCAUCUUUCAUGCCUCCCCGUCCCUAAACCCUUCAUAUUUAAUUAAUCAGCAUGUCUUUUCAAUUUACUAACUAAAUUUUAAAUAUCUUUAAUUACUGUCCAUUUCUCUUUACUGCCUCUACUCUAGUCAUCAUUUCUCCUGGAUAUAACUAUUAAUACAAUAGACUCACAAUUCACUUCCCUGAAUUUGAUGUCUCUGCAUUAAUGCUAGAGAUACCUUUUCAAAACUCAAAUCUGUUUCGGUACCAGCCCACUCCCACCAACCUUGCAGAGUGUGUGACUACUUCAAGGGAAGCGUUUGUUCUCUGACAAACUGAUCUACAUCAGGUUCCACUGGUAUAUGCUGUUAUAGAACCACUCUCCUUUCCUUAUCUCCUUAUAAUUACGUACUCUUUGUGUGAUUAUCUGAUUAAUGUCCUCCACUAAGAGAUUCUUGAGAACAGAGACUGUAUCUGUUUACUCACCAGUGAUUUUAUAGCAUCUUGAGCACCUUAAAUACUCAUGUGAAUAAAUGACAUGUGAAACUCA